UGAUUUCACCAUCAUUCUUAAGUCGUUAAAAUACGUAUAAAAAAAUUUGAAAUUAACUAUAGGCGUUGCGCGCGACAUUAAAGUAGUGUGGCGCGCAUGCGUAUAAACGUAAUAACCCAAACUUUGGAUGGCUAUGUUACGUACCCACGUAUUAAUUAAUCAUAUAUUAACUAUGUACAGCGCGCCGCACGUUUCUAAUAAUAUUUGACACUAUAACUAAUAAGGCAAUUAGUAUAGUAUAACAUGCGGAGGUCGUUGCAAAAUCGUAGAGAAAACAAUUAAACUAUAGAAGGUGCCGUCACAUACGUAUCUUUCCUGGAAAGCCAACGCCCAUACGCAGGAUACGAGUCGACCAGCAUACCAAAUACGAGACCCGAACUCUGUCUCAUGACCGAGCUUAGCCACUACUACAACCACCCACUCCAAAGGACACAAUCAUAUAUAUAGAAGCCCAGGACAAGAGCUCUUCAGACGGUUAGGGAUCUUCAGAGUCAGGUCGUAACACCACUCACAGUUUAUAUUCUAUCUUUAUAUUAUAACAUUGUAUUUUUGUACUACGUUAAUAAACAUUCAUCAUACCUAGUACAUCACGUAUUCUAUUUCUGCGUUGAUGUAUAUAUCGACGUCGGUUAGGACGUAACAGCUAUAACUUUUAAAAUAAUGGUUUACGACAAAUUCUGAUUGCACCAUUGUUCCUAAAUAGUUAAUAUAAAUAAGUUCCGAAAGAAAUAAUCGAACAAUUUGAAUGUGGUGGUAAAGUACAUUUGCUCCAGGAAAUCGACCGUAUGAUUUGUGGGCAAUGCGGAGCGGUGUUGAUGACAAAAUUUGAUUUUGUUGAUAAAUGAUAGGACGUCGACGAUGAUAACAAAAAUAACGGUAAGUUUUUCUAUUAUUCGAGUACUUAGGUAGAAGAGGAGUUUCCAACAUAAUAAUAUAGUAUUCAAUAUUAGUUUGUAUUUAUUCUAUUCCAAUUAUUGCUCAUUGUCAACUGGUAAUUUUAACAAUAAUUGUAUUAACGCAGCAUUUACUUAAAAUGUUGCGAAAAGUAUAUUCCUAUUUUAUAGGCUUUUGCAGGGAUUAACUAUAUUACUCAGUUGUAUUCUUAUUGUUCCAUUUGUUUCAUAAAAUAUAGCACAUCUAGGCAUUUAGCUCAUAGGAAUUAAGUUGAUAAUAUUUAAAUAAAAUCGUAAGUAAGUUUACACAUGAUAAUUAAGGAAUGGUCGAUUUGUGCAGUUUUCAAUUGUUUUUUAUUUUAAUAUUUGGUUCUAGGUCACUUUGUAUGGUCGACCAAUAAAAGUGCAAAACGCAGACACUUUGUAUGGUCGGGUAUAAAGGUACAUUGCUGAUUGCGGAUACUUUGUACGGUUGGGUAAAAAUGUUCAAUUCAGACCGCAGACAGUUUGUACUAUUAUAUACAUAAAACAUAAGUAGAGUAAAUACAAGUUAUAUAUCUAAGUAAUAAUUAAAAUGUUGAGAUACAGAGGAAAUAAAUUAACACUUAAUACCUAUUGUAAAAUAAUUGGAUUCAUUUCCUAAGGUUUAAGAAGAAAUUUAUGAACCAUCUGUUUAUAGUAAUGUUACACUAACAGUUAGGAUUAUGGUUAUUGAUUUCUGAAAUACAAUAUGUUUUACAAGAACAUUAUAUAUACAGAUUUGUACCAGACACGGACUAUGAAUCUAAACUUCCAAUUAACAUAGAUAUUACUGUUACAUCAACUUGUGAUAGUAUAGGUGCUGAUACUGUUGAUACAACAGGACAAAAUAUGAUGUUAUUUGGAGAAUUAAAAACUGAUGAUACUUGGUGGGAAAUGACAAAAGAAUUGACACAACAUUUCGAAAAAAUGCGUGUAUUAUAUGCAUAUUUAAGAGAAGAAUAUAAUUCAAUGAAUGACAUAUUAUGGAUUUUUGAUAAUUAUAAUACAUUAAAAAAUAAAAUAUCUGUUAAUAGGUACUACAGGAAAUCUAUUUGUUUGCUUCAAACUUGCUUCAAGCUUCUGGAAUUAGAUGAUCAUAUUCAAACAGUUGUCCGUAAUAUUGGAAAACAUGGGAUGGAUAUAGAAUAUGAGUUGAGUAUGGAAAUUGGAAGCCCUGUGCAUGGACUAUUGAUCGAUUCUUAGCUUUCCGAAGAACUGUAUUCAUUAUAUUGGCAUGCAGAAAUUAUUU